rnacentral:piRNA from 1 species
UAGGUCAAUGCAAUGGUAGGAAGUACCAGG